GAUCAUGGCCAGGACGAACGCUGGCGGCGUGCCUAACACAUGCAAGUCGAACGGAACUGUUUUGAAAGAUUUCUUCGGAAUGAAUUUGAUUUAGUUUAGUGGCGGACGGGUGAGUAACGCGUGAGUAACCUGCCUUCAAGAGGGGGAUAACAUUCUGAAAAGAAUGCUAAUACCGCAUGAUAUAUCGGAACCACAUGGUUUUGAUAUCAAAGAUUUUAUCGCUUGAAGNUGGACUCGCGUCCGAUUAG
rnacentral:rRNA from 1 species